rnacentral:rRNA from 1 species
CCUACGGGAGACAGCAGUGAGGAAUAUUGGUCAAUGGGCGUAAGCCUGAACCAGCCAAGUCGCGUGAGGGAUGAAGGUUCUAUGGAUCGUAAACCUCUUUUAUAAGGGAAUAAAGUGUGGGACGUGUCCUGUUUUGUAUGUACCUUAUGAAUAAGGAUCGGCUAACUCCGUGCCAGCAGCCGCGGUAAUACGGAGGAUCCGAGCGUUAUCCGGAUUUAUUGGGUUUAAAGGGUGCGUAGGCGGCCUUUUAAGUCAGCGGUGAAAGUCUGUGGCUCAACCAUAGAAUUGCCGUUGAAACUGGGAGGCUUGAGUAUGUUUGAGGCAGGCGGAAUGCGUGGUGUAGCGGUGAAAUGCUUAGAUAUCACACAGAACCCCGAUUGCGAAGGCAGCCUGCCAAGCCAUGACUGACGCUGAUGCACGAAAGCGUGGGGAUCAAACAGGAUUAGAUACCCGGGUAGUC